GACGAACGCUGGCGGCGUGCUUAACACAUGCAAGUCGAACGGAAAGGCCCUGCUUUUGUGGGUUUCUCGAUUGGCGAACGGGUGAGUAACACGUGUGUAACCUGUCCUUGACUUUGGGAUAACUUCUGGAAACUGGGGCUAAUACCGGAUAGGAUCUCCUGCUGCAUGGUGGGGGUUGGAAAGUUUCGGCGGUUGGGGAUGGACUCGCGGCUUAUCAGCUUGUUUGUGGGGUAGUGGCUUACCAAGGCUUUGACGGGUAGCCGGCCUGAGAGGGUGACCGGCGACAUUGGGACUGAGAUACGGACCAGACUCCUACGGGAGGCAGCAGUCGAGAGUAUUGCAGAAUGGGCGGAAGCCUGAUGCAGCAACGUCGCGUGCGGGAUGCCGGCCUUCGGGUUAUAAACAGAUUUCGAAUGUGACAAAGAGUGAGUGACGGUAAUGGGUAAAAAAGCACCGGCUAACUACGUG
rnacentral:rRNA from 1 species